rnacentral:rRNA from 1 species
AGUGAACGCUGGCGGCGUGCCUAAUACAUGCAAGUCGAACGCAGUGGCGCACGGGUGAGUAAUAUAUAGUUAAUCUGCCCUACACAGAGGAACAACAGUUGGAAACGACUGCUAAUACCUCAUAGUGUAGGAUGAGACUAUAUCGUAUCAGCUAGUUGGUAAGGUAAUGGCUUACCAAGGCUAUGACGCGUAACUGGACUGAGAGGAUGAUCAGUCACGUUGGCACUGAGACAUCGUGCAAACUCCUACGUGAGGCAGCAGGAAGGAAUAUUGCGCGAUGGGGGAAACCCUGACGCAGCAACGCCGAGUGGAGGAUGACACUUUUCUGAGCGUAAACUCCUUUUAUCAUGAAAGCGGUACCUGAUGAAUAAGCGCCGGCUAACUCCGUGCCAGCAGCCGCGGUAAUUC